rnacentral:lncRNA from 1 species
GUUCCUUAAUAUGUAUGGUUCAUGAGUAAUAUCACUUUACGCUAAACUCUAAAUAUAAGAGGGGCAUAAACUCCCAUUUAUUGUAUACGCACCCUUCCAAUCUAAAUUUAUAAGUUACGACAUGUUGCAACUAACAAUUUAGUAAAGAUAAUUUGUCGAAAACUUAUAAAGUUAAUGAAAAUAAGUGAAAAUAAGCCGAAAUCAAAAUUUAGAAUUUGACCUUGACCUUUGACCUUUGACCUAAUUUUCAUUUUUUUGGACCAAGGAUCUUAAAUCAAAAGACCCUAGGUCUCUAUCCUUUAUAGUUUACCAGUUAGAAAUGCAUAUCACUUAUAUCAUAUAUAAAAGGGGGGAUAACUCUCAUAUGGAGUCUCCGGAUAGCUUCGGUCAAAAUGAAACAGAACAUCCUUAGGAUGUAACGAGCAAUUUGGUAAAAUAAAUUUGUCGUAAUCUUUUACGGUUACGAAGGAGUAGUGGCCACAAGAAAAACAGUGUUCGGGGAGAUAACUCUUACAGGGUAAAGUUUUUUGUUACGCGGUGUCAGUUUCAGAAGCGUAUUAACUGUUCGAUAUCAUAUACCAUAUAUCUUAGCGACAUCUUACGAAACAAAAAAACAGCGAAGGAAAUAAAAGUUGGCGGAAGAAAAAAAAAAAAAAAAAAUAAUAAUAAUAAUUAAAAACCAAUUGUUCAAAGAACAAUUGAAGGUCUUUCAACCAAUAAGGAUCUAUUUUGAUAUGAAAAUAUUAAGAUUCAGUUGAAAAUGUCAGUUGCUAUGGCUUUAUGAUAUGAAAAUAUGAAUUUGGAGCAAAGGUCAAAAUCUAGAACGUCCAAUUAACCUAUGACCUUGACCCCAAUUUCAAGGUCAUAAACCAAGGAUCCCAAAUCAAAAGACCCUAGGUCAGUAGUAUGUAUGGUUCAUGAGUAAUAUCACUUUACGCAUAAUUGUAAAUAUAAGAGGGGCAAAAACUCCCGUUUAUUGUCUACGCACCCUUCCAAUCAAAAAUUUUAAGUUACGACAUGUCGCAACUAACAAUUUAGUAAAAAGAAUUUGUCGAAAUCUUAUAAAGUUAAUGAGAAUAAGUGAAAAUAAGCCAAAAUCAAAAUUUAGAAUUUGACCUUGACCUUUGACCUUGACCUAAUUUUCAUUUUUUUGGACCAAGGAUCUUAAAUCAAAAGACCCUAGGUCUCUAUCACUUAUAGUUUACCAGUUAGAAAUGCAUAUCACUGAAAGCAUAUAUAAAAGGGGGGAUACCUCUCAUAUGGAGUCUCCGGAUAGCUUCGGUUGAAAUGAAACAGAACAUCCUAAGGAUAUAACGAGCAAUUUGGAUAAAUAAAUUUGUCGGUUUCUUAUAAGGUCGCGAAGGAGUAGUGGCCACAAGAAAAACAGUGUUCGGGAGAAUAACUCUUACAAGGUAAAGUUUUUUGUUACGCGGUGUCAGUUUCAGAAGCGUAUUAACUGUUCAAUAUCAUUUACCUUAUAUCUAAGAGAUAUCUUGUGAAACAAAAAAACAGCGAAGGAAAAAAAAGUUGGCGGAAGAAAAAAAAAAAAAAUAAUAAUAAUAAUAAUAAUCAGAACAAACCCUAUAGGUCUUUCAACUGAAAGGUUGAAAGACCUAAUAAUCAGAACAAACCCUAUAGGUCUUUCACCUGAAAGGUUGAAAGACCUAAUAAUAAUCAGAACGAAUUCAAUAGGUCUUUCAACAGAAAGGUUGAAAGACCUAAUUAUAAGAA